GAAAAAUGCCAUAGUCGAUUGCAGGUUGAGUCUCUCCCAUUUCUGAGAGGACUCAUCACACCUAAUUUGAGUAAUUUCCUUUUCAAUUUCCUGGGCCAUUUUAUUUUACCUCUGGCUGCCCCUUGGAUGAGUGGUCCACUAAGCACAAAACUAAAGUGUGUCAGUUUUGGAAGAACAUGUGAAGAUUGUCCAUCAUUUUUCACAUUUUUCUUUGACAAGAGAGAGUGAGGAGCGUCUCCAGGGCCCAAUUCUGAGACAUUUGGCCACAGUUUCAUUCCUGAAGUGAGUGAGAGAACAAAAAGUUCAAAUACGUACAUGACAUAGUCCUAGUUUU
rnacentral:lncRNA from 1 species